GGGCAUUUGGCACAGUGGUAGCGCGCACGCUUCGCAUUAUUGGUGCCUGCGUGAGGUCCAGGGUUCAAUCCCCUGAAUGUCCA